GAUGAACGCUGGCGGCGUGCCUAAUACAUGCAAGUCGAACGAAACUUCUUUAUCACCGAGUGCUUGCACUCACCGAUAAAGAGUUGAGUGGCGAACGGGUGAGUAACACGUGGGCAACCUGCCCAAAAGAGGGGGAUAACACUUGGAAACAGGUGCUAAUACCGCAUAACCAUAGUUACCGCAUGGUGACUAUGUAAAAGGUGGCUAUGCUACCGCUUUUGGAUGGGCCCGCGGCGCAUUAGCUAGUUGGUGAGGUAAAGGCUUACCAAGGCGAUGAUGCGUAGCCAAACUGAGAGGUUGAUCGGCCACAUUGGGACUGAGACACGGCCCAAACUCCUACGGGAGGCAGCAGUAGGGAAUCUUCCACAAUGGGCGAAAGCCUGAUGGAGCAACGCCGCGUGGGUGAAGAAGGUCUUCGGAUCGUAAAACCCUGUUGUUAGAGAAGAAAGUGCGUGAGAGUAACUGUUCACGUUUCGACGGUAUCUAACCAGAAAGCCACGGCUAACUACGUGCCAGCAGCCGCGGUAAUACGUAGGUGGCAAGCGUUAUCCGGAUUUAUUGGGCGUAAAGGGAACGCAGGCGGUCUUUUAAGUCUGAUGUGAAAGCCUUCGGCUUAACCGGAGUAGUGCAUUGGAAACUGGGAGACUUGAGUGCAGAAGAGGAGAGUGGAACUCCAUGUGUAGCGGUGAAAUGCGUAGAUAUAUGGAAGAACACCAGUGGCGAAAGCGGCUCUCUGGUCUGUAACUGACGCUGAGGUUCGAAAGCGUGGGUAGCAAACAGGAUUAGAUACCCUGGUAGUCCACGCCGUAAACGAUGAAUGCUAAGUGUUGGAGGGUUUCCGCCCUUCAGUGCUGCAGCUAACGCAAUAAGCAUUCCGCCUGGGGAGUACGACCGCAAGGUUGAAACUCAAAGGAAUUGACGGGGGCCCGCACAGGCGGUGGAGCAUGUGGUUUAAUUCGAAGCAACGCGAAGAACCUUACCAGGUCUUGACAUCUUCUGACAAUCCUAGAGAUAGGACUUUCCCUUCGGGGACAGAAUGACAGGUGGUGCAUGGUUGUCGUCAGCUCGUGUCGUGAGAUGUUGGGUUAAGUCCCGCAACGAGCGCAACCCUUAUUGUUAGUUGCCAGCAUUAAGUUGGGCACUCUAGCAAGACUGCCGGUGACAAACCGGAGGAAGGUGGGGAUGACGUCAAAUCAUCAUGCCCCUUAUGACCUGGGCUACACACGUGCUACAAUGGACGGUACAACGAGUCGCAAGACCGCGAGGUUUAGCAAAUCUCUUAAAGCCGUUCCCAGUUCGGAUUGUAGGCUGCAACUCGCCUACAUGAAGUCGGAAUCGCUAGUAAUCGCGGAUCAGCAUGCCGCGGUGAAUACGUUCCCGGGCCU
rnacentral:rRNA from 1 species